GGCCAUGCGGCACCACGGUGACCCUCAAGUGACCCGAGGACUUGAGUUAGCACCAACCUCGCAGUGUUAGGUCACCCACUGCACACGUGUGCCACACAAAGGGGGGGUGGAAUGGGUGUCUGGGGACCCUCUACUUUCUGCAGGCGUGAAACACUCGGAAAAUAAAGCAUUGGAAACGACAAAGACCCUUAGGCCCCCGAGAGGUGGGUCCCUGCACCCCUCCCCAUGCCGGGCCCCCUGGGCGCCCUCUCCCUGGAAGGCCCUGCAUCCUGCCCCACUCACCCUUCAGGACUCUGCCCAGGAUUCCCCGAAGGACAGGCCGCUCCCUCCCCCAGGCCCUCUGUGGGCAGUGUUUGGGGAGGGGGUGCUUGGGCCACCUUGAGCUAUGACAAUGAAUGAUGGCCCCGGGCCCUGUUGGUUUUUCUGGUCCACCCUGUUGUGGCACCAAAGGCCCCUGGGCGUGACAGCCCAGCAGGAGGCAGAAAUGGGUGGCCCUGGCCGGUCCCUGGGAGAAACCCUCUCUCCUCCCGCCCCCAUGGUCCUGCCCUCUGCCCUCCCUGCCCCUCCACUUCCUCUCAGGGUUACCUCAGACCUGGGAGGUUUCUCCAUGGGCCGGGAAGGUGCCCAGCAGUGGGAAGGACGCUUUGGCUUGGGCCCUCCCCAGUGGGUGCUGGGGCAGCGCCAGGAAGCCUGGCCACUUCCUGCUGGCCGGAUCUGGCCUGAGGACCUGCUGCUGGGCAGGUCUGAGGACGGGGUGGGGCUCUGCCCUGUGGCCGAGGGGUGGACCCAUUGUCUCACCCAGAGACACGGAAGGGGCAGAACUGCCAGGACUGGGCUGUGCCCCUUCCCUCCUUUGUGCCCUGAGGGUUGUCCCUAGCACAGUAUCCCAGCUCCUGCCUCAGGGCCACCAAGCCUGGGUCCUGGAGCAAACAGUGACAGCCAGUUGUCCCAGGGUGGAGCAUGCACACAGGGAGGCGAUGGGGAAUUGUCCCUGCCAGGCACAGCCCCAGCCCAUGUGCACAGGUGCCAGCUGCCCACAGGCCAGAAGCCAGCUCUGGAGGGGCCCAGCGUCGCUUGGGCGCGUCCUCCAGGGAGGGGAAGGAAUCCUCCCAGGACCCGAGCAGCACUUUGGCCGCUGCAGCCCCUCUCCCACUCUGGGCCUCUGUCCUGACCCUGGCCUCCCAGAGUACUGGGAUUACUGUCAUGUGCCACAUGCUGGAUUCUGACUCCUCACCGAGGGAAACAGAGGCCCGACACCAUUCACUGGAGCUCUGGCCCACAUAUGCACAAAGGAGCUGCCAGACCUUGGGACAAGCUGUGUCAACAGGCCGAGAAGAGAAGCUUCCAGCAAGACAGCUGCUCCUGUUUCCCAGAAGGCCUCAGUGCUGGGAAUGUUUCUCCAGGACGCCAGGACAGGGGAGGUGGCAGAUGGAGCUGGGAAGCAUGGCUUGGAUGAGUUUCUCCUGACGGCGGAGGCCAGAGUGCGCAUUCAUUUGGGACCAUGUUCGGCUCCCCACGGGCCCUGGCCCAGCCAUGGUGCUGGGCUUCUGGAAGGACUUUAGCCCACUCCACCUCCCUUGUAUCCCCAGAGGAAGUGGCGCUCCUGCGGACUCUGCCCCUUUCCUGAGUGGCAUCUGCAGCAGUGUGAGCCUGGCCCUGAUUUCUCCCGUGUUAAAUAAAUAAAUAAAUAGUUCAUAAUGCUAAAGAAAUUAACAUAAGAAAAGCACCCAGAGCCUCUCAUUACCCAGCUUGCUUCCCUUGGGAGCUUUGUCCACGGGAAAGCCUCCCAUUUAGUCCCCAUCUGGGGUCUUCAGCUACCUGCCCCCCUGUCUUCCUGGAGGCGGGGUUUCCGGUCCUCACUCCCUGGCUUCUUCCGCCCCAGAUUCAGCUUUCCCAUCCAUCGCGCUGCCCGACCCAUUUCCCAGCUCCAGCUGCUGCUUGAGCUUUCCUCUCCUGUGGCCUGGCUCACAG
rnacentral:lncRNA from 1 species